rnacentral:lncRNA from 1 species
UUAAUACAUGAACCCCCCAAUUGUGUACGUCAUACCUUUCAACCAUCUGACUGUAAUGAAGUGUACGGAACCUAUAUCAUUGCAUCAUUAAUUUCCUUCUGCUUGUGGUACAAGAACAUUGGGCAGUGAAGAUGCUAAUUACUGCAGUAGUCAGCCACUUGUGACCACCGUGAGGAUAAGUGAAUGUCUUGUGUUUGGGAGUGAAACAUGCAAAUGCAUACCAUUGAUUUUGUUUAAACAUGGUCUUGUGUCAUUGCCUGUCCAUGAAAGUAACUCAAUUACAAUUGCUUGCAAUCACAGGUGGCGGUGGAAUCUGAGAAACUGAAAAUAUUUUAAUUAACCUGUAUCCAGCACUGAGUGAAGAUCAAGUUCAAGUAUGUUUAUUAAGACAAGAAAGAAAUACAUCUCAAAAGGACAGGAGUGAAGAUUCUUCCAAGUGCCGCUAAGUGUAGCGGACGUGAUAAUUCCACCACACACAUAUAUCAAUAACUAUGUGUAUGAGAUAUUUAUGUUUUAUGCAUGCACAUCGAUUUCAGAUAUUUCAAUUUCAUCCUGUAGCCCACUGGAACUCCGGAAAUCCUUUUGUAAUUGUGGCUAGUAAGUAAUUAUCAAACAAGGCACCAAGUCGUGUAGCUAGUACAACAAGUCAUGUAAACCAGAGUAAAGACCUGUGAAGACCUCGAGAGGGCUCAGAGCAGUUCUGGAAUGACUUGACGGAUUGCCAUAGACCGCUAAAGAUGGGAUGAGCUGGAUGAUGCUGAGCCCAGUGGCUGCCUGAAAGUAUCUUGCCGAGACUACUCCAGACAAAUAGUCACAUCAGUUGCAGAAGUUCUGUUUGGCCUACAAGAGCCAGAUUCUGGCCCCACUACAGAGGUGCAAGGACUGGGAGACAAUUCACCACCCCACUGGGAAAGGUAUGCAGAAAGCCGAGCAAAGCUUUACAGACAACUGGAUGGUUCGGCGAAAAUGAGGCCUCACAAUUGCAAAACAAUUCUGAAAAUUAUUCACACAGAACAGGAAUUCACUCAAACUAGCUCAAUACGCCUUAGAGCUGAUCAUCACCACCAGGCGGCCCAGCCCCCAAGCCUGUAGCCCGCUGCCCUGACCAGGCAGUCUUGCCUACCGACAAGCCUGCAGGGAGAGGCAAGAAUCAGGGAGCUACCAAGGCUAUACAAGAAAGAGUUGUUUUAAUUGUUUUACAUUCAAUGCUGGGUCUCUGGUGGAGCCUUCCACAGUGGCUUCCUAAGCUAACUAACCACAAAGAACAAAAAUGGAAUUUACCAGGGAGGAGAGAUUCCUCACUUCUAAGCAGGCACUAGGACGAAGAAGAGAACCCAGACCGGGAGAUAUGGGCCAAAGUAAAAUAUAACUGACCAAGAUCCUGAAUAUUGACUAAAUACCAGACUGCUAGAGCCCUCAUAGAAUGCCAAAACCCUCGAACUUGAAUAUCAGCUCCAAGACAUGUUGCAGAAGAUGCAUCCAAGCAGUGUAUUUGUGAACAUCAUGAUCUCGAGGGUAAACUGCAUGCUGGCUAGAUUUAAUGGCACUCUGGAUGACCUGGGAAAUACCAGUCUUGAAACUGGGUCAGUCAAUAAGGCAUCUACCAAGGCAGAACUGGUGCCCUGCAAGUAGUGGCAAAGAUAUUGCUGAACACAACAAAUGAUUGAAAUAAACACAACAAAUGAAAUAAAUAUCUCUUUGAUAUCCCCAGGGUCAAACUUAAUCUGUGUAAACACACUAUGCAAAUAAAGGGACCUAGUCUAUGGAACUCACUCCCUAAUGAAU